rnacentral:rRNA from 1 species
AGGGAAUCUUCUGCAAUGGACGAAAGUCUGACAGAGCAACGCCGCGUGAGUGAAGAAGGUCUUCGGAUUGUAAAACUCUGUUGUCAGGGAAGAACACCCGGGAGAGGAUCCCGGCUUGACGGUACCUGACGAGAAAGCCCCGGCUAACUACGUGCCAGCAGCCGCGGUAAUACGUAGGGGGCAAGCGUUGUCCGGAAUCAUUGGGCGUAAAGCGCGCGCAGGCGGUCCCUUAAGUCUGAUGUGAAAGCCCACGGCUCAACCGUGGAGGGCCAUUGGAAACUGGGGGACUUGAGUGCAGGAGAGGAGAGUGGAAUUCCUGGUGUAGCGGUGAAAUGCGUAGAGAUCAGGAGGAACACCGAUGGCGAAGGCAGCUCUCUGGCCUGUAACUGACGCUGAGGCGCGAAAGCGUGGGGAGCAAAC